AAAAAGUUUAAUUCUAGCUUAGAAAAUUAGUGUUUAAUUUAUUUAUAUGUAAGUUUUAGCGUUAUUAAUUAUUAUUUUAGAAAAAUAGUAGGUUUAAUUAUAUUUUCAGUAUUUAAAUUUAAAUAUUAUAGAAAUAUAUAUUUAGAAAUUUAGAAUAAUUUUAACAAAAUUUGUGCCAGCAGUUGCGGUUACACAAAUAAAUUAAUUGAUUUUUUAUUGAUUUAUAAUUAAAUGAUAUAAAAUUAAUAUAUUUAUAAAUUUAUUAAGUGAAAUUUUAAAUUUUUAGUAAUUUUUAUUUUAUAUAUUGAAGUUGUUAAAUUUUAUAAAAAACUAGGAUUAGAUACCCUAUUAUUAAAAUGUAAAUUUUUAAAUUUAAUUAUUAAAAGUUAUAGUCUUAAAAGUUAAAGAUUAUGGCGGUAUUUUAGUCUUUUCAGAGGAACCUGUCCUGUAAUUGAUAUUCCACGAUUAGAAUUACUUAUUUUAAAAAUUUAUAUAUCGUUGUAAUUGAAAAUUUUUUAAGAAAUUUAAUUUUCAUAAUUUUUAAUAAAAAUAUAAAUCAGAUCAAGGUGUAGUUUAUAGAUAAGAAGAGAUGGGUUACAUUAAUAAUAUUUUUUGAUUUUUUUUUUAAAAAAUUAAUGAAAUUGGAUUUGAAAGUAAUUUAAUUAAUUUAGGUUAAAUGAUUUGAGCUCUAGGAUAUGCACAUAUCGCCCGUCGCUCUCAUUUAAAGUGAGAUAAGUCGUAACAAAGUAAAUGUACUGGAAAGUGUAUUUUGAUUU
rnacentral:ncRNA from 1 species